UCAUGUCAGAUAACAGUGUUUGAGUUCAUUCCUUAGCUUAAGCCCUACGUGUAGCUCAUCGCUGCCUAACUUCUGCAUGCCCAGACUUUUAGAGGUCCUGUCCUGGGGCUCUGCCCAAAGCUCCUCAGACAGCUUGCCGCUCUCCUCCACAACUCCAGAGCAGCACAAUGAGUGAUCACCAUCCUGUGCUCCUCAGGAAUACUCAGGAUGGUUUCUCUGUCCUGUAUGCUUUCACCUUAUCCUGCUCUUUGCUUCCAUUUGCCUCCAUUCUGAUGGCAUCUCCUCUACAUUCCCCAGCCAGCAGCAUAUUUUGGAGAUUUAACUGGAAGUAACCCAGCACAUUAAACUCAGUAACUCUCUAUGCAGGGACGAAUUUUAUUCAGGUCAGGCAAAGAAUUCAGGUGCAGUUCAUGGGACUUGGAACCAAAUUAUCCUUUAUGAUUGUUCACUAACCUUGUUAGGUCUUGAGAAAAAAUUCCUAGGCUGAAGCGAUCCAUUUCCUAAUCAAAGUUGUGAUCACUUUGUGCCUCAGGAUGAAAAACAGCAAUAAGGUUUACACUGCAGGCUGCAGUCUGUGCUAGGUUGAAAGACUGGAGUCCUCAGCCUAGUAGCACUGCCACUGUCAUAUGUCCUUCAUAUGGAACAAGGCUGUACAAGGGGUAGGGAGUUGACCCAGCCCAAAGGGCUCCUGGUCAGAAUAUUUGUGUGCACACCAGGGGAGAGCAUUUUGUGGACUCUGUGUCAGGAGGUCUGUCCGGAUCAAUAGGUUCUAGGCAAAACCUAAAUAUACAUCACUGCUCACCACUGCUUUCACUCAGUCAAACAAAUAUGUUUAAAGCUCCACUACUAACUCACCUUUAAACUUAUUCAGAGAUCUGAAAAAACCAUACCAACCUGAAACCUGAGGACCACUUCCAAACAAAACAACCUCUACAGCUGUGACUUGGGAAGAGAAUGAAUUCAUUUAAAGAUGAAACCUUUUAUGUAACAGCCAUUUCAAAAUAGAAAUACAAUGUUUUUUUCAUACAUCAAUCCCAAACCAUCAACAUAGUUAAUAAAUGAGGUUUAUAUGUUUGUGAAAGAACAUUUCCUGUUCUAUACAUUAUAAACUUCUCUCCCAGUAGGUGCAGUGCAGCUUGGACAGGUAGCAGCCCACAUUUACUGAGGGACCUCUGUUUUUCCAGAGUCGUAGAGCAAAUCAUCACCAUUAAUCUGAGGUGUGUCCCUCUCACCUUCCCUGAUGGCAAAUCCUACAGGUGGAAGAGAUUAAUAAUAUGCAAAGCAGGAAUGGUCACAGAGUCAGAGUUCAGAAAGGUAAACUUUCCUCCAUCUCCAGCUUGCACACUUGACCACACAGCGCCUGAGCACACAGCUCAGGCCCCCCACCUGGAUUUGUUAUAAUCAUCAAGCAUAUGCAAAGCUCAGAACCAACCUACUCAUUUUCUGCAGCAUCCAGUAUAGGUUAUGUGAAAUAUUAAAAUAUGUAAUUGUAAAUGCAUGCCCUUUAUUGCGUUAUAACUAAGAAACCAGAUCUUUUCCCACUGACUUUCCAUGCAACUUUUCCCUGUUCUCAUAUCCCAUGUGGCUCUUAAGUGUGCAAAGGCACCAGUAUUAAAAUUUAUAAGAUAUUUAUAUAAAUCAGAUGGUUGGUAAGUAUUAAAUCUGAUUUUUCUCAAUAACCCGAGGGGGAAUAUUAAAAUAUUAAAAUUGUUUGAAUUUUUAAAACACAAAUGGGCUUUUGAAUAGUUUAGGCCCAAGCUUCAACUCUUGUACUCAAAUACAUUCUGGCUGAGUACAGAGUUCUUGAAGUUUUUGUCUUGUUACUCACAUCUAGUGAGACAAAUGGCAGACUUAGUAGAAAGUCUGUUCUGAAAAAUCAUAAACAGAUCCAUGUGGAAGAAUGAAUAUUAUCUUCUGUUUUCAUCCUGCGAUUUACAUGUUUGGAAGUAUAUAUCUCUUGUCUUAAAUAACUGAGGUCACAUUGUAAAACUUGCUGCCAGUGUUGCCUCAUGGCAUUACCAGUUUACGUACUAUCUUUGCUUCCACAUUUAAACAUCUUUGAUGUAAUUGUGAACAUGAAACCUUACAACAAUUUUCUGUUCAAGAAAUUUUAUUCUCAGUCUCUUAACACACUUUCUGGGAACUAAUUCUGGUUCCAUAUUGUGGACUCAAGAGUUAACAGCUGUGGGUAAGCAUAGCCAUGGCUCCCCAUUUUCUUUUUUAGUAGAUAAAUAACAUUUGCCUCGAGGAGGAUGUGUUAUUGUUCUGAGAUGUGCAAGAGUAUGUCUAGAAUAGCUGCAGAAGAGGGAGUUGUGUAUGCAGAAAGAAUGUUUGCUCUUUCCUUUAGGCUCUGAUUAGGUCAAUUCUUGGGACAUGUUUGGCUUGCAAACCCACAAUUACUGUUACACAGUUUUUCUGGAGAAGGGGAUUUCUUUGCAUGCUGUUUUGGUCAUCUUGUUGCCAAACCAGUGUGUAUAUGUGUGUACUGGAAAAAGCAAAUUGUAAAAGGAAUGUACUUAAACUCUAUAUCACUGUUUUUUCCAUAGCUGAAAGAAUCAAUCUACUGGUAUAGGUGUGUGUGCACAGAAAUGAAGAUAUUGACAUGAGAAAAUAACAGUGGAAUCAGAAGAAACAAGAAAUGGGCUACCUAUAUUACCUUUUUUUAUCAAGAUGCUGGUCUAUGGGCUGAUGAAAAAGGAAGUUCUUACACAUUUAGGUUCCAGAAGUCUGGAUAAUACUAGUUUUGCUUCCAGGCUCUUAAUGUAAUGCUGAAUAUGUCUGAAUUUUAUUGAAAUUCUCCGUUCUGAAGUGUAACAAAUACAUCUUCACUGACUUUCACUGAAGAAUCAACGAGACUAAUUCAGGUGCAGAGAAUUUCCACAGAGGCCUUCAAAGAUCUCUCCCCAUUGGCUAUAUGGAGUCUUCACUGAAUAAAAGCUGGUAAAAGCUGCAUUUUCAUCUUCAAGAGACAUCUACUGUUGAAAUCCUUCUAAGCCUAGCCAAGUUUAUUUUCUGCCUUAUCACACUUGAAUAUUUUUUACCAAAGGAAAAACAAAAGAAGGCACUUAACAUGCUUGUGACCUAAAUAUUUUACUAUAGGAAGCUUGCAUUCACUUUACACCUGGGCAGCCAGGCUUUGUUCUUUGUGGCACUGUAUGUCCAAACCACCUCUCCAAUGGAAGCAGAGUUUAUUAUUCUUCAGUAUUUUUAAAGUCU
rnacentral:lncRNA from 1 species